rnacentral:tRNA from 1 species
GCGGCUAUGGCGGAAUGGCAGACGCGCCAGAUUUAGGAUCUGGUCUUCGGGUGAGGGUUCAAGUCCCUCUAGCCGCA